rnacentral:rRNA from 1 species
UACGGGAGGCAGCAGUGGGGAAUCUUGCACAAUGGGCGAAAGCCUGAUGCAGCCAUGCCGCGUGAAUGAUGAAGGCCUUAGGGUUGUAAAAUUCUUUCGCUAGGGAUGAUAAUGACAGUACCUAGUAAAGAAGCCCCGGCUAACUUCGUGCCAGCAGCCGCGGUAA